rnacentral:misc_RNA from 1 species
GAGUGUUUUUAUUAAAAGAUAAAGAUUGGUUGAAUGGAUAUAAAAAUAAGAUUUUUAUAUAUGUUGUUUAUAAGAGAUUUAUUUUAAAUUAAGGGAUAUAUAUAGAUUGAAAAUGAAGGGAUGGAAAAAGAUAUUUUAUGUAAAUGGAGAUUAAAAUAAAGUAGGAAUAGUAAUAUUUUUUUUAGAUAAAAUAUUUUGAAAUAAAGGUUAAGAAAAGAGAUAAAGAAGGAUAUUAUAUAAUGAUUAA